AUCGCAACCAUUCUUUUCAGUGGUUUGUCAGCAGGGCCAAGUCCUGCAGGAACACGUGGGAAUUGAGUUCCUGCACUUUUUUCACAGCAGGAACAUUAGUAGGAAUCCUGCAGGACCAGUCCUUUAGUGGAAAGCUUGGGUGAGUUCCCACAUUUCUUUUUCUCAGGACUUGACCCUUGGUUGUCAGCCAUAACAUCCCUAGCAACAAGUGUCUUCAGUGGGUUGUCAGCUAUAAUAUCCUUAGCAACCAGUUUGUCUCUGGUAACUAAAAUUUUUAUAUGACUGUCACAAAUGAAAAAAGUAGAAAAUGGUCGGAUUUUCAUUUAAGCUGAUCAAAGAAGAAAAUUAAGAAAAUAAGUAAUUUCCAGCCUCAUCAGUGGACGCCGUCUGCUUUCUACUCCUCUACACCUUGUUGCCUAUAGAACAGAUAGAGGCCACUUUCAGCCCUCCAGCCACUACUAAAAAUCUCCCAUGAUGCUCCGUCAUCCAUUUGCUCAGCAUCCUGGAAGAUGUAAUUUAUGAACAGUUGGCGUGCCGUCGGCGGCCCCUUCCCCGCUAUAGAAAAAUAAUUAUUUAUUGAAAAUGUUGCAGGAUAUGAAUUUGCUCCAUUUAUCCAAGGAAGGAAAACAGAGCUGCUACAAUGUACACAAUUAAAAGUAAUUAUUCCCUCCCUUCCCCCCCAACAACAUGGCAAAAACUGUAUUAACUUUAAGUAACCCGUAGCAACCAAUCAGCUUACUUUUCUUUUUAAGACAAUGCAGAGAAAUAUGAUAAUUAUGACUAUAAUCCCUCAAGAUUUGCUUUUCUAUUAGAUUACUUAUGUAGCCUACAGUUACUGGAUUCCUGCCAUUACAUUAGACUCAGGGAGGGCACGUAUAGUUAAGGAGGAACAAUUAAAAUGGAUAUUAGAUCAACCCUUCAGCCCCGGGGACAACUGAGCAGCUAGAAGUCAUGGCCUAUACAAAAGACCACUAAGGAUCUCUGUACAAAUCUUCCUGUCCGGCUGCAGCAUCAUCUUUAGCCCAGUUGAAGCACAGGCCGGGACAAAGUUUAAGAUAGCAGCAGUAUAAAGAUAAAGCUGAAGGGGAGAUGUAUAACUACAAUAUAUCCUGAUUACACAGAGAUAGCAGCAAUAUACAGAGAGAGCAGGAUAUGGGAGGUGCCUACUGUACAUCCUGAUCCCAUAGAGAUAGCAGAUAGAGCCGGGAGAGGUCAGGGAGCUAGUAGGAGGGCUCUGGUAGGGGAUCAUGUCCUCCUGUAGUCCAUAGGAAGUCAGGCUGGUGAUCACAUGACCCAGUUCCAGUAAUAAAACUUACUAGUGCAGCUGUGCAAGAAAAAAAACACAUUUCACUGUAUGACUAUUGAUUGUGAGUGGGCAUGAUGUGGGCAAAAAACAUGCCAACCUUAGUAGACAAGCCCUGUCCUGGGGCAUUUUCCCUAAUGGCAGACUAAUGACCUAGAAAGCAGCUGUAGUUUUGUUCAGCCUGAUCUUCCUGGUUCUUACAAAGCGGUUGCACCUUAAAAUGUAAGUUAUUAAAACAAAAAGGUAACAUUAAGAGAAGUUCUGUCGCUGCCCAUUAUUAUCGGUUACCGACAGAAUUAUGUGGUCUAUAAUAUUAUGUCACUUAUAAAAAGGACAGAAUGUAUGAAAUAACUCGCCGUCCAUAGAAACUAUUUCCAUUAGGACAAGAAUGGAGGGUAAA